UGGGGAAUAUUGCGCAAUGGGGGAAACCCUGACGCAGCCAUGCCGCGUGUGUGAAGAAGGCUCUAGGGUUGUAAAGCACUUUAAGCGAGGAGGAAAGGGUGUAGAUUAAUACUCUGCAUCUGUGACGUUACUCGCAGAAUAAGCACCGGCUAACUCCGUGCCAGCAGCCGCGGUAAUACGGAGGGUGCAAGCGUUAAUCGGAAUUACUGGGCGUAAAGCGCGCGUAGGCGGUUAUUUAAGCGGGAUGUGAAAUCCCCGGGCUCAACCUGGGAACUGCAUUCCGAACUGGAUAACUAGAGUACAAGAGAGGGUGGUGGAAUUUCCAGUGUAGCGGUGAAAUGCGUAGAGAUUGGAAGGAACAUCAGUGGCGAAGGCGGCCACCUGGAUUGAUACUGACGCUGAGGUGCGAAAGCGUGGGGAGCAAACAGG
rnacentral:rRNA from 1 species